rnacentral:rRNA from 1 species
UACGUAGGGGGCAAGCGUUGUCCGGAAUCAUUGGGCGUAAAGAGCGUGUAGGCGGUCCGGUAAGUCGGCUGUGAAAGUCCAGGGCUCAACCCUGGGAUGCCGGUCGAUACUGCCGGACUAGAGUUCGGAAGAGGCGAGUGGAAUUCCCGGUGUAGCGGUGAAGUGCGCAGAUAUCGGGAGGAACACCUAUGGCGAAGGCAGCUCGCUGGGACGUUACUGACGCUGAGACGCGAAAGCGUGGGGAGCAAACAGG